CCUACGGGUGGCAGCAGUGGGGAAUAUUGCACAAUGGGGGAAACCCUGAUGCAGCGACGCCGCGUGAGUGAAGAAGUAAUUCGUUAUGUAAAGCUCUAUCAGCAGGGAAGAAAAUGACGGUACCUGAGUAAGAAGCACCGGCUAACUACGUGCCAGCAGCCGCGGUAAUACGUAGGGGGCAAGCGUUCUCCGGAUUUACUGGGUGUAAAGGGAGCGUAGACGGCAGUGCGAGUCUGGCGUGAAAGGCGGGGGCUCAAUCCCAGGAUUGCUCGGGAAACUGGACGGCUGGAGUGCAGUAGAGGUAAGUGGAAUUCCAUGUGUAGCGGUGAAAUGCGUAGAUAUGAGGAGGAACACCAGUGGCGAAGGCGGCUUACUGGACUAUGACUGACGUUGAGGCUCGAAAGCGUGGGGAGCAAACAGGAUUAGAUACCCCGGUAGUC
rnacentral:rRNA from 1 species